AACCGUGGUUCCACUAUCACUUUUUGUCUGGCACCCAUCUUAAUUGUAGGUAACUCACGUGUCCUGAUUUUCAUAGCUAAAAUGCACCUAUAUGGGAAUUCUCAAUUUAUGAAGGCUAUUAGAGAUGCACAUUCUUUCUCCAAGAAAAAACUUUUAAAAUAAAAGUUAAGUAGCCAAUAGUACCACACACAGCGAUAACACAACGUGUUUGUGCCUGCUUAAAUAUUAGCCCAAACACGGUCAGGUGGACCCGACAGGAAUUGAAACUUACAGUUCAUCAGGUACACCUCAGAAGAGAAGAGGAAGUGGUAGAAAGAAAGUGGUGUGAUAAUUUCUACAAUGGCGGAAUCAGACAGCUGAUUCAUAGCAAAUGUUGUUCUUGGGAAAGACCUCCAACACAGCUGGAGAAAGGAUGAGGCUAAAGGGUAUUGCAACAGCAACAGUGGUCAUAAUGGGUUUGGACAGGAAGACGUAAAAAAGACGUAGCAGGAAUCACUGGAACAGGUUUGUUCCUUUUAUUCUGACUCCCACAUAAAGACGUCCAGUGCCAUAUGAGAUUCCUUCUACUGUUAUCUUGUGUAAUUUUGUUACAGUAUGUAAACACAGUGGUAUAAAUGGAGGUUCUCAACCUUCAGGUAAAACAAACAGUGUGGGAAAUUUUUCUACAGCAAACAGAGAAGCUGAUGAAGGAGCGAUGGGAAACAAAAACUCUAUACAAAAUAGGGAACCUGUGAAUCAUCUUAUUAUCAACCAGCUUUGAAGAGACCUCUAAGGAAGAAAAUUAUUCAGAAGAGUGGCUAGUCCCUUUAGAAUAAGUAUUGUAAAUAAUAAUCAGUAACUAAAAGUGGUUUGAUUGGAAAUAACACCAUCAGGUAAUGGGCACAACUGGUGGCUAGUGACAGUUUA